rnacentral:rRNA from 1 species
UACGUAGGGCGCGAGCGUUAAUCGGAAUUACUGGGCGUAAAGCGUGCGCAGGCGGUUUUGUAAGUCUGUCGUGAAAUCCCCGGGCUCAACCUGGGAAUUGCGAUGGAGACUGCAAGGCUAGAAUCUGGCAGAGGGGGGUAGAAUGCCGGGUGUGAGCGGUGGAAUGCGUAGAGAUCCGGCAGAAGACCGGUGGCGAAGGCGGCCCCCUGGGCAGUAACUGACACUGAGGCGCGACAGCGUGGGGAGCAAACAGG